GGAGGUAUAGCUCAGUGGUAGAGUGCAUGCCUAGCAUGCAUGAGGUCCUGGGUUCAGUCCCCAGUACCUCCA
rnacentral:tRNA from 1 species